CCACGGCUCGAGAGGAAGCUCCGGCUAACUCCGUGCCAGCAGCCGCGGUAAGACGGAGGGAGCAAGCGUUGUUCGGAAUCACUGGGCAUAAAGGGCGCGCAGGCGGCGCGGUAAGUCAGAUGUGAAAGCCCUCGGCUUAACUGAGGAAUUGCGUCUGAUACUGCCGUGCUUGAGGGCAGGAGGGGAGAGUGGAAUUCCUGGUGGAGCGGUGAAAUGCGUAGAUAUCAGGAGGAACGCCGGCGGCGAAAGCGACUCUCUGGUCUGCACCUGACGCUGAGUGCGCGAAAGCUAGGGGAGCAAACAGGAGUAGAUACCCUGGUAGUCCUAGCCGUAAA
rnacentral:rRNA from 1 species